GAUGAACGCUGGCGGCGUGCCUAAUACAUGCAAGUCGAGCGAACAGAUGAGGAGCUUGCUCCUCUGACGUUAGCGGCGGACGGGUGAGUAACACGUGGAUAACCUACCUAUAAGACUGGGAUAACUUCGGGAAACCGGAGCUAAUACCGGAUAAUAUAUUGAACCGCAUGGUUCAAUAGUGAAAGACGGUUUUGCUGUCACUUAUAGAUGGAUCCGCGCCGCAUUAGCUAGUUGGUAAGGUAACGGCUUACCAAGGCAACGAUGCGUAGCCGACCUGAGAGGGUGAUCGGCCACACUGGAACUGAGACACGGUCCAGACUCCUACGGGAGGCAGCAGUAGGGAAUCUUCCGCAAUGGGCGAAAGCCUGACGGAGCAACGCCGCGUGAGUGAUGAAGGUCUUCGGAUCGCAAAACUCUGUUAUUAGGGAAGAAUAAAUGUGUAAGUAACUAUGCACGUCUUGACGGUACCUAAUCAGAAAGCCACGGCUAACUACGUG
rnacentral:rRNA from 1 species